GUGCUGUGAAAAAGAAUUGGUGGGUGGUGAGUGGCACUGGCAGACAAACUGAGGCUGCUGCUCUACAGUGAUCAAACAUCUUCCCAAACAGGAGGACCCAGAGAGCACCAAAGCUGGUACCAAGACAGAGCUGAGUGUCUGGGCAGGGAAGGGCUGGGUGGUGACAAUUCUCCACCUGUGGCCAAGGCUCUUGUGGGAGGGGAGCCAGCAAAACACCACCUUCAUUCUUCUGCACACAAGUUAUUUGCCAGUGUCCUGUUAGCUGUGAGGGGACAUUUGUAGAAGGUUUAUCCACCUGAAUGGGUCACUGAAGAUAUUGCCAGGGAUUUUUUUUUUUCCUGGUUUGCCCAGUCCACUGAAAAUGAGUCAUUUUUUAGUGGAGAUAA